rnacentral:rRNA from 1 species
AUUGUUCGCAAUGGGCGCAAGCCUGACGACGCAACGCCGCGUGGAGGAUGAAGGGCUUCGGCUCGUAAACUCCUUUCGACCGAGAUGAACAUCCGCAGGGUUAAUACCUCUGCGGACUGACAGUAUCGAGGGAAGAAGCCCCGGCUAACUCCGUGCCAGCAGCCGCGGUAAUACGGGGGGGGCAAGCGUUGUUCGGAAUUACUGGGCGUAAAGGGUUCGUAGGUGGCCAGCUAAGUCAGACGUGAAAUCCCUCAGCUUAACUGAGGAACUGCGUCUGAUACUGAUUGGCUUGAGUGCAGGAGAGGAACGCGGAAUUCCAGGUGUAGCGGUGAAAUGCGUAGAUAUCUGGAGGAACACCGGUGGCGAAGGCGGCGUUCUGGACUGCAACUGACACUGAGGAACGAAAGCCAGGGGAGCAAACGGG